CAACUAGUCAAAGAUGGAGGCUGGAGCUGGAAGGCCAUGAGGUUUGUACUGGAGGAUUUUCCCAGAUUUUUAUUGAUUAGAAACUGAAGCUGAAAUACAGCCGGCUCUGCCCAGGACCAUGGAGCCAAGCCCCCAGGAGAUGGGGGGAGAGAGCUGGACAGUUCUUGCUGCCUCUUUUGCUCUUCUUUUGACAACUUUUUUUCUUCUUGGUGAGAGGAUCUGUCCCUCCCUUGGCCAGCUCUACCCAAUGGGAAACUGAUGAGGGGAAGGAGAGUGAAUCCAAGGGAGUCAGUCUGGAAGGAACUCCCCCACACUCCCUCCAGUGAGUGCUAGGGAUUCAAGAGGGAGAGGGGUGGUGGGGUGGAAAUUCUGUUUCUUAUGGAGACAAAGGUGUUUCAAAUCAGACCCCUCCAAAUUGCCGAUUCCACCGAGUUUAUCCCUUGUUAGUGUUUGAUACAGCUUACCUUCCACAGGGAGGAGAAGAGGUUAGAAGAGGUGGAACAGUGUCACAAAAGGUGUUGUUUUUUUAUAAAGCCAAUUUCUAGGCUAAGGAAAUGCUAUUUUGAUGAGCCCAAAAGUGUGCAAUAGAAAAUAGAGGGGGAAAGGGUACCCACCAGAAGACAACAUUUUUGUCCAUGCCUUCUGUUUCCCAGACUUCUGUCUAAACCUGAAAAAGCCUGAAACCCUCAAAUACAUAAACUUUUCUUGAUCUGCAGAAACAAAUUUGAAAUCUAUCAUUCUCUGCAAUCUAGAAAUAACUCAGAAAAUUAUCCAUUACAGAAUCUACUGUUUCUCUGAUAUUCUUUCCAGGAACUCUCUCUUGCUGGGUAAGCAC
rnacentral:lncRNA from 1 species